rnacentral:rRNA from 1 species
UACGUAGGGUGCGAGCGUUAAUCGGAAUUACUGGGCGUAAAGCGUGCGCAGGCGGUUUUGUAAGCCAGAUGUGAAAUCCCCGGGCUUAACCUGGGAAUGGCAUUUGGGACUGCAAGGCUGGAGUGUGGCAGAGGAGACUGGAAUUCCACGUGUAGCAGUGAAAUGCGUAGAGAUGUGGAGGAACACCGAUGGCGAAGGCAGCCCCCUGGGCUAACACUGACGCUCAUGCACGAAAGCGUGGGGAGCAAACAGG